ensembl:lncRNA
CUGUGUAUUAGUUUAUUUAAUUCUUUAUAGCCACUAAGAGCAAGUAAAUUACGUUGAUACAAUUGGUAAACAUAUACAUUCGCUAGAGCCUCCCACAAUCCCACAGAGCUAAGGGAAACAUUAAGGGAUGUUACAGGAUUAAUGCUUUCAUUCUACAAUAUGGAUAUAUGGCUUUCAUACAAGUUUAAAAAAAUUGAAAAGGUAACACACUGCUAGCUUACAAAAUCAAUAUACAAACUGAAAAAAAAAAUGAAAAGGAAAAGGAAAAAGAGAGUAACCCAUGAGAAGACAUCAUAUAGCACUGGUUUAAUAGAUAUAUACAGAAUUAGAAAUCCAUUGAACAUGAUAUUCAGGCUUUAAUUCAUUAUUUUGACUUUCAUUUGUUCUUUCUGUUUAACAUCCAAACUACAAGUAUUAAGUUGACUUCAGUUUUACUUUAUGUUUUCCAUCUUUUUUUUCCCAUUUUCCUCACUUUUUAUUGGCAGAGAAAAAGCCUUUUCUGCCUGGGUUUGUAUGUUCGCACCUAACUGAAGCAGUCCAUCCACUUCGAAGCUUUGAACAAAGCCCUUCCACGUACAUGGUGUGACAGAAAAGAACAUCACCGUGAUACUAAGUCCUAUUAUUGGCCAUUUCAUUGGUAUGUGUUUUGCAUUUUCCUCAGACACAGCUAUCCUUAAACUGAUAUGCUGGUGAGUGGGAAGAAACCUAUCUCUUCAUCCUAUAUACUACUUUUGUAUCCUUGUGUAAAUACCAACGCAGGACAAAAAGCUCCUUCACUUCUACUUUAGGUUGAAAACAUGGCAGCACUAUUUGUGAGAUACAUUUUGAGUUAUGGAUGCACUUUUUUAAUAGUUUUGCUUCCUCAUAUACGAACAUAUAUGCGGUAUGUAUGCAUAUAUAUUUAGAGACCUGCUGUGCCUUGUGCUGAUAUCCUCAUUAGGUGGUUUCUAGCUCAAAGCUGCAGCCGUACUAACCUGACUUUGCUUCAGGUCCCCUCAGCAACCACAACACGCUUUAGAUUAUCAGAGCCAUUCGUUCAGCUAUAAAAAUCUAGAUGAACUACACAAUUACAAUAUGGGAAGUGCAAUGAACGACCUAAUGAGAAAAGUUAAAUAAUGUCUUCUUGCCAGGUAGAUGAGGGUGAGGCAACUUAAACAGCGUAAUUAAUUGAAUGAAAUUGGCUAUAGUUAAGACAGCUUUGAACAUACUAUCCAUUUUUCUAGCUUUACAUCACAGAAUUCAGGGCUAAAGCUUUUAUAGUGUCUUUAACUUUGAAUGACCUUCUGAAAUGGGAAUACUUGGGAGCCUCUGUUUUAUCUCACCAGCAAAUUCAUACGUUGGACACAUGCUUCUAGUUCUGUUUGGGGUUUUGUUUGUUAUUGUGUGUUUUUUUAAAAUAAGGAAUAGCAGAAAGGGAACAUUAGGAAAACUGUUAGACUUCAGCAUCAUUUAGUUUUGGUCCAAAAGCACACAAAGUUUUCUGCUGAGCAAGACAGCCUAGACCUUCUCCAAACGCAAACAUCAAUGGGGUGGAAGAGGCUCUCUCCAUGCGCUAUUUGCUCAGGCAAGUCUUCCACUGUCCCUGAAGUUCUAUGACACAUGUCUCCUCUCUUUAAUUUGAUGGUAAAAGAGGACACAGUGGGAAAGGAUGCAGCUUCUUGCCACUGUUUACCUAGCUAAGGUGGUUUUCUGAUUGACGGCAGACACUCUUUCAUCAUUAUGUCUAAUUUUUGAUCAUAUGUUAUGCAUUUCUUUCUCCCAGGAAGCCUUGCCCAGGUUGAGCUAUGACAAAGGUUUUACCAGUGAAUCACUCCCCCAGAGAAUCCAGGAAUUCUUUGCUCAUUCUCAUAUUUCCGUGUUCAUUGUCAUCUUCUGAUUAACAAGUUGCUAUUGUCCUUAAAAGGACACAAUGAGAGGUACCAAUGGUAGGGGCUUGCUGGGCUGUUUUGCAACACUUCAGUGAGUAAUGGAGAAUACAGCC